GGGGUUGUAGCUCAGUGGUAGAGCACUAACUUAACAGUGUGAGGCCCUGGGUUCAAUCCUCAGCACCACA
rnacentral:tRNA from 1 species